GGUCCCGCUCAGGUCCCGCGCGCGGGUCUCCAGACGCCCGGCCCCGCGCGGGGACCCUGGCCCCGGCGUCCCGCGACGGCGGCGGUUCUCAAACCGGGGAGUAGUGUCCGGGGAGUCGUUACCUGCCGUCCCUCUCAAUCCCCGCCGUGAAAAAAAAUGGGAACUCUCUCAAGGACUAACAAUCAGAGCUGCCUAGUUGACGAGGGAGGUUUGGUUUCAAGAAGACCCUGAAGCAAGGAUUCUAAAUCAAAGAUUCAGGGGCAAUCUGAGUUUGCAUUAAAGAUCCCUGUGCCUAUAGCAGUGGCCUAUAUGUUAUGUUCAAUUGACAUAAAUAGAACAAGAUGAUGGGUACCAGUAUAAAUAAAAUGUUAAUAAACAGC